GGGCCAUAGCUCAGUUGGGAGAGCGCUUGCAUGGCAUGCAAGAGGUCGUCGGUUCGAUUCCGUCUGGCUCC
rnacentral:tRNA from 2 species